rnacentral:misc_RNA from 1 species
UAUGGGAUGCAAAUCAAGUACUGUAGG